AUUGAACGCUGGCGGCAUGCCUUACACAUGCAAGUCGAACGGCAGCGCGGACUUCGGUCUGGCGGCGAGUGGCGAACGGGUGAGUAAUACAUCGGAACGUACCCUGUUGUGGGGGAUAACUAGUCGAAAGAUUAGCUAAUACCGCAUACGACCUGAGGGUGCAAGUGGGGGACCGCAAGGCCUCACGCAGCAGGAGCGGCCGAUGUCUGAUUAGCUAGUUGGUGGGGUAAAGGCCCACCAAGGCGACGAUCAGUAGCUAGUCUGAGAGGACGAUCAGCCACACUGGGACUGAGACACGGCCCAGACUCCUACGGGAGGCAGCAGUGGGGAAUUUUGGACAAUGGGGGCAACCCUGAUCCAGCAAUGCCGCGUGUGUGAAGAAGGCCUUCGGGUUGUAAAGCACUUUUGUCCGGAAAGAAAUCGCGCUGGUUAAUACCUGGCGUGGAUGACGGUACCGGAAGAAUAAGCACCGGCUAACUACGUG
rnacentral:rRNA from 1 species